rnacentral:rRNA from 1 species
CCCAGACUCCUACGGGAGGCAGCAGUGGGGGAUAUUGCACAAUGGGGGGAACCCUGAUGCAGCGACGCCGCGUGGGUGAAGGAGCGUUUCGGCGCGUAAAGCCCUAUCGGCAGGGAAGAAGGAGGACGGUACCUGACUAAGAAGCCCCGGCUAACUACGUGCCAGCAGCCGCGGUAAUACGUAGGGGGCAAGCGUUAUCCGGAUUUACUGGGUGUAAAGGGGGCGCAGACGGCAGCGCAAGCCAGGAGUGAAAGCCCGGGGCCCAACCCCGGGACUGCUCUUGGAACUGCGCGGCUGGAGUGCAGGAGGGGCAGGCGGAAUUCCUGGUGUAGCGGUGAAAUGCGUAGAUAUCAGGAGGAACACCGGUGGCGAAGGCGGCCUGCUGGACUGCGACUGACAUUGAGGCCCGAAAGCGUGGGGAGCAAACAGGAUUAGAUACCCUUGUA